rnacentral:rRNA from 1 species
UACGUAGGGUGCAAGCGUUAAUCGGAAUUACUGGGCGUAAAGCGUGCGCAGGCGGUUUUGUAAGCCAGAUGUGAAAUCCCCGGGCUUAACCUGGGAACUGCAUUUGUGACUGCAUCGCUGGAGUGCGGCAGAGGGGGAUGGAAUUCCGCGUGUAGCAGUGAAAUGCGUAGAUAUGCGGAGGAACACCGAUGGCGAAGGCAAUCCCCUGGGCCUGCACUGACGCUCAUGCACGAAAGCGUGGGGAGCAAACAGG